rnacentral:tRNA from 1 species
GGGGCCGUGGCUCAGUGGCAAAGCUUCCGUUUGGCAUGCAGAAGACCCUUGGUUCAGUCCCGGUCUGGACACA